CUGAACCAUUCUGCUUCCUCCCUUCAGCUGUGCCACCAGGCAGAGCAAAUCAUCCACCUGGUGACACACGUGUUGUUUGUGCUGCUGUCCAACACCAGUGAUGAUGGUGGAACCCAACUGAGAGUGUCCUGGAAUCACCAUGACUGGUCCUCUCUGUGCUUCCACCCAGCUGGCAGCACCAGAUAAAAAGCUUUCUGCUCCAAGGUCUCCAUUUCUACUGACAUCACCAGCAGGAAUCAGAUCCAGGACCCGAGUUUUUCUGUGCCAAAGGCUAGUUUCUGCUGCAAAUGACAUCUGCAAACAGACAG
rnacentral:lncRNA from 1 species